rnacentral:rRNA from 1 species
AUCGAACGCUGGCGGCAGGCCUAACACAUGCAAGUCGAGCGAGCGGCGGACGGGUUAGUAAUGUAUGGGGACUGCCCGAUAGAGGGGGAUAACUACGGGAAACGGUAGCUAAUACCGGGUACUAUCGGAUAACCCAUAUGGGAUUGGCUAGUAGGUGAGGUAAUGGCUCACCUAGGCGACGAUCCCUAGCUGGUCGGAGAGGAUGAUCAGCCAGACUGGGACUGAGACACGGCCCAGACUCCUACGGAGGCAGCAGUGGGGAAGAUUGCACAAUGGGCGCAGGCCGGAUGCAGCCAUGCCGCGUGUAUGAAGAAGGCCCUAGGGUUGUAAAGUACUGUCAGUAGGGAGGCGUUACCGACAGAAGAAGCACCGACUAACUCCGUGCCAGCAGCCGCGGUAAUUC